CCUACGGGUGGCAGCAGUGGGGAAUAUUGGACAAUGGGGGGAACCCUGAUCCAGCCAUGCCGCGUGUGUGAAGAAGGCCCUCGGGUUGUAAAGCACUUUCAGUGAGGAAGAACGCCUGGUGGUUAAUACCCAUCAGGAAAGACAUCACUCACAGAAGAAGCACCGGCUAACUCCGUGCCAGCAGCCGCGGUAAUACGGAGGGUGCGAGCGUUAAUCGGAAUUACUGGGCGUAAAGCGCGCGUAGGUGGAUUGAUAAGCCGGUUGUGAAAGCCCCGGGCUCAACCUGGGAACGGCAUCCGGAACUGUCAAGCUAGAGUGCAGGAGAGGAAGGUAGAAUUCCCGGUGUAGCGGUGAAAUGCGUAGAGAUCGGGAGGAAUACCAGUGGCGAAGGCGGCCUUCUGGACUGACACUGACACUGAGGUGCGAAAGCGUGGGUAGCAAACAGGAUUAGAUACCCUUGUAGUC
rnacentral:rRNA from 1 species